AUUGAACGCUGGCGGCAUACUUUACACAUGCAAGUCGAACGGUAACAGGCCUUCGGGUGCUGACGAGUGGCGAACGGGUGAGUAAUGCAUCGGAACGUACCCAGAGGUGGGGGAUAACGCAGCGAAAGCUGUGCUAAUACCGCAUGUGAUCUGAGGAUGAAAGCGGGGGACCGAGCAGCAAUGUUUGGCCUCGCGCCUUUGGAGCGGCCGAUGUCGGAUUAGCUAGUUGGUGGGGUAAAGGCCUACCAAGGCGACGAUCCGUAGCUGGUCUGAGAGGACGACCAGCCACACUGGGACUGAGACACGGCCCAGACUCCUACGGGAGGCAGCAGUGGGGAAUUUUGGACAAUGGGCGCAAGCCUGAUCCAGCAAUGCCGCGUGCGGGAAGAAGGCCUUCGGGUUGUAAACCGCUUUUGGCAGGAACGAAACGGUGUCCGCUAAUACCGGGCGCUAAUGACGGUACCUGCAGAAUAAGCACCGGCUAACUACGUG
rnacentral:rRNA from 1 species